rnacentral:lncRNA from 1 species
CCUCCCCUUUGUGUGUUUCAGUGCUUUGUAUGCUAUUGCAAAGAGAUAAUGGGUUUUCAGGAGUGGAUGUCAGAAUUGCAUUCAUAUGCUUGGCCAAAUGAUAGCUAAGUUCAAUAAAGCGGCAGACAUUUCAAAAACAAGAGCAACGGUCCUACCUUAAACGAAGGUCUCGCCCACGGGCCUCCUCGUGGUGCUUCUGCAAGUAAACGCCUCGUGCUGCCGGCCUGCUACACCUGCCGGGGAGGAGCCACCUCCCCACCCCCCAUGGAGCUUCCACAGAACGCAGCUGUUAACACCUAAUAAUUACCGUUUUGUGACUCCGGUACUGGGAGCGGCAGUGGCUGAUGCUGCUUUUGAGACCGCUCGUCAGUUAGGAAUCGCUGACCCCCCGCAGACAACGCAUUUAUUUAGGUCCAAAGGGGGCUUAACUCUCUGGCUCAAGUGGAACUACAAGAUGUGUGAAUGA